rnacentral:rRNA from 1 species
AUUGAACGCUGGCGGCAGGCCUAACACAUGCAAGUCGAGCGGAUGAAGGGAGCUUGCUCCUGGAAUCAGCGGCGGACGGGUGAGUAAUGCCUAGGAAUCUGCCUGGUAGUGGGGGAUAACGUCCGGAAACGGGCGCUAAUACCGCAUACGUCCUGAGGGAGAAAGUGGGGGAUCUUCGGACCUCACGCUAUCAGAUGAGCCUAGGUCGGAUUAGCUAGUUGGUGGGGUAAAGGCCUACCAAGGCGACGAUCCGUAACUGGUCUGAGAGGAUGAUCAGUCACACUGGAACUGAGACACGGUCCAGACUCCUACGGGAGGCAGCAGUGGGGAAUAUUGGACAAUGGGCGAAAGCCUGAUCCAGCCAUGCCGCGUGUGUGAAGAAGGCCUUCGGAUUGUAAAGCACUUUAAGUUGGGAGGAAGGGCAGUAAGUUAAUACCUUGCUGUUUUGACGUUACCAACAGAAUAAGCACCGGCUAACUUCGUG